CAAGGGCACUGCGACAGCUCAGCACCCACCACAGAUCAGCAACAGGACAACCCGAGCGCGGAGACACAGACGGGAAGCGUGUGGGGUCCUGGGAUAGGCCCAACUCAAUGAUUUCCCCUCCCUGGGGCUAAGACACCACUGAUGUGAAGACGCAGGAGACAGGACAACCCCCCGUGAAGGGUCCUGUCCACCCACCACUGAGGCCUGGCCCGACUUUCUACAAGACCCUGCUGGGGGGGAAGUGCCCCUCGGAGUAAAGGAAAUACAGCCCC
ensembl:lncRNA novel transcript, antisense to REXO1